rnacentral:misc_RNA from 1 species
GGUGAACCUGCGGAAGGAUCAUUGUCGAGCACCUCCGACGCUGAUGCUGGCCGUCUCGACGGCAUGUGCACGCGUCGGAUUGACCUCAUUCACCCACCGUGCACCUCUGGUAGGUCGGGGAAACCCGGUCUACGAUCGCAUACACGCAUAUAUACAUGUCGUAGAACUAGAUUGUAAUAACAAUACAACUUUCAACAACGGAUCUCUUGGUUCUCGCAUCGAUGAAGAACGCAGCACUGAAGACCAUGCUCAGCAAGCUCCUCGGUGAAUGAUACAUUGAAUCAACAUUGAUUUCAUCACUCCCCACCCUGGAUCUCUUGGCUCUCGCAUCGAUGAAGAACGCAGCA